rnacentral:rRNA from 1 species
GUAGGUGGCAAGCGUUGUCCGGAAUUAUUGGGCGUAAAGCGCGCGCAGGCGGUUCUUUAAGUCUGAUGUGAAAGCCCACGGCUCAACCGUGGAGGGUCAUUGGAAACUGGAGAACUUGAGUACAGAAGAGGAAAGCGGAAUUCCACGUGUAGCGGUGAAAUGCGUAGAGAUGUGGAGGAACACCAGUGGCGAAGGCGGCUUUCUGGUCUGUAACUGACGCUGAGGCGCGAAAGCGUGGGGGAGCAAACAGGAUUAGAUACCCUGGUAGUCCACGCCGUAAACGAUGAGUGCUAAGUGUUAGGGGGGUUUCCGCCCCUUAGUGCUGCAGCUAACGCAUUAAGCACUCCGCCUGGGGAGUACGGCCGCAAGGCUGA